rnacentral:misc_RNA from 1 species
GUGAAUCAUCGAAUUUUUGAACGCAAAUUGCACUCUCUUCGAAGACUAUGCCUGUUUGAGGGUCAGCCUAAAAAAAAUCGACAUAGUUGCUGUUAUGCUGUGCCAUUCGUCGGAAGUUGGGUCAUCUUAAACCUUUGGGUUUAUGCGGCUUAAUAUUUUCUUUACGAUUCCAAGAACCUUUCUAAGCUUUUAUUUUCUUAUACGCUUAAGG